rnacentral:rRNA from 1 species
GACGAACGCUGGCGGCGUGCUUAACACAUGCAAGUCGAGCGGAAAGGCCCCUUCGGGGGUACUCGAGCGGCGAACGGGUGAGUAACACGUGAGUAAUCUGCCCUUCACUUUGGGAUAACCCCCGGAAACGGGAGCUAAUACCGGAUACGACCACUCCACGCAUGUGGUGGUGGUGGAAACUUUUUUGGGUGGGGGAUGUGCUCGCGGCCUAUCAGCUUGUUGGUGGGGUAAUGGCCUACCAAGGCUUUGACGGGUAGCCGGCCUGAGAGGGUGACCGGCCACACUGGGACUGAGACACGGCCCAGACUCCUACGGGAGGCAGCAGUGGGGAAUAUUGGACAAUGGGCGGAAGCCUGAUCCAGCAACGCCGCGUGAGGGAUGACGGCCUUCGGGUUGUAAACCUCUUUCAGCACCGACGAAGCGCAAGUGACGGUAGGUGCAGAAGAAGGACCGGCCAACUACGUGCCAGCCGCCGCCGUAACAC